GACGAACGCUGGCGGCGUGCCUAAUACAUGCAAGUAGAACGCUGAAGGAGGAGCUUGCUUCUCUGGAUGAGUUGCGAACGGGUGAGUAACGCGUAGGUAACCUGCCUGGUAGCGGGGGAUAACUAUUGGAAACGAUAGCUAAUACCGCAUAAGAGUAGAUGUCGCAUGACAUUUGCUUAAAAGGUGCAAUUGCAUCACUACCAGAUGGACCUGCGUUGUAUUAGCUAGUUGGUGAGGUAACGGCUCACCAAGGCAACGAUACAUAGCCGACCUGAGAGGGUGAUCAGCCACACUGGGACUGAGACACGGCCCAGACUCCUACGGGAGGCAGCAGUAGGGAAUCUUCGGCAAUGGACGGAAGUCUGACCGAGCAACGCCGCGUGAGUGAAGAAGGUUUUCGGAUCGUAAAGCUCUGUUGUAAGAGAAGAACGAGUGUGAGAGUGGAAAGUUCACACUGUGACGGUAUCUUACCAGAAAGGGACGGCUAACUACGUG
rnacentral:rRNA from 1 species